GCACUCUGCUGCUCCUGGGACAGCUCCAGGUGGAGGUGGAGAAUUUUGUCCUCCGAGNGGCUGCAGAGUUCUCCUCCAGGAAGGAGCACCUUGUGUUUCUGACCAACAACUAUGACAUGAUGCUCGUGGUGCUGAUGGAGCAGGCUGCUGAUGACAGCAAAGAGGUGGAGAGUUUCCAGCAGCUGCUCAAUGCUCGGACACAGGAGUUCAUUGAGGAGUUGCUGUCUCCCCCCUUUGGGGGUCUGGUGGCAUUUGUGAAAGAGGCUUAAGCCUUGAUUGAGCGUGGGCAGGAUGAGC